UCCCACAGCCCCAUAUUUCUGGUAACUGUGUUAAAUGUCUGUAUCUUCUCAGAUUUUGAUUUGUACAUUGUCUGUCAGGGUUCAUUGUCUUGUCUUCCUGCUCACUCUCCCUCUCUUGUAUUUCCCGUAGGCCGAAAGUGCCGCUGCAGAGGAAGCCAGGCGUCAAAGCCAGUGGGACCUGACCCAGAAGCAGCCAAAGGUAAAUCACAAAGUAAUCUUUGUGUUAGCAGUGAUUUUACACCUCAUAAUCACUUCUUGCCACCAUGACGACAAAAUAAAACAUUAAAUUAAUAUAAUUUUAUACCUUAA
rnacentral:lncRNA from 1 species